GACACAGGCAACAUUUUUUGGAGAUAACAUCAUACAAGACACCAGUAACUUAAGUAGAUCACCACAAGCAAGAAGCGACAGAUCAUAGAGCACAUUAAGAUAACUGAACAGCAACCUCAUUAGGAAAUAAAAACAACCACCUUACUUAAAUUGACACAAACAAAGAACGGCACACGCGCCUGCAUGCACGGAGACAACAACUUCAGUAGAUCGACAGAAGCAACGAGAGGCAGAUCGACAGAGACAACCCAACACACGCGACAUUUUCACGCGAUAACUCUAACUUAACUAGAUCGACCGGGGCGGCAAGCGGCAGAUGCGCGCGCAUGCAUGCAUGGAUGCUCUGCGCUCCCUUACAGAGCGAAGGCAGCGGCCGCCGCCGCGGCGCCGGCAGUGCGCAGUAUCUGAAAAUACAGCUGCGGAUUCGCCACGAAUGCCGCGCGGGAGAUGAAGAAGCCGGCCGCGCCUGGCGCCUUCAUCGUGGCGCCGGCGGCCACCGCCCCAGCAGGCCAGAGGAAGUAGAUGCCCACGGCAGCGCCGGCGACCAGCGCCGCGGCUGCGGCGGCUUCCAGCGCGCCUUCGCGUGUGGUGAACACGUUCUUCGCCUUCUGCUUGAACGAGUCCAU
rnacentral:lncRNA from 1 species